CUGGCAAAGCUCGCGCCCCCACGGCUGUCUCAGGCUGGCGGCCCGACAGGGCGAAUGCUGCAGGCUAACCGACUACCCUGGUUGGUGGGAUAAAAGGUGGUUUUAGGUGCUAGUGUACCUGCAGUUGCAUCCUGUCCAGAGUGAUUAAUUCAGCUGAUCCCUUCAAGUUUCUGAUCUGCUCUGUCUUUCAAAUCCCCAGCAGUUUGCGGAAACUGUGGAGCUGCUGAUCAGCCUGAAAAACUAUGACCCACAGAAGGACAGACAUUUCUGGCACAGUCAGGCUUGGCGCCUCUCUGAUUCCACCCAGCCUUUGGCCUGCAACCUUCUCCCUCCAGGCACUUUGAAUGUACAUGUGGUUGGCAACACAUUGACUGCUUGAUAUAAUGGCAGGAGGGUGCAGUGCUGAAUUGCCUGGGUAGUUCAUACACAUACACACCCAGUCUGCAAGUGGUAUGGCUGGACAGACCCCUAUCCUGGGUCUUAAAAUGUGAGAGGAGAUGUGGUGAGGCUCCUGUGCUGAUCCCUCUGACCAGCUGGAGAAGCCAGAUUAGAGGCAGGUGGAUAAAGAUUCACAGGUGAUUGUUGUAAGGUUUCUGGGCUGUAGCACUGUCUACUCCCUCAGGGUGUGUGGUACUGACAGUGCAGAAGGACAGUGUGGUGGUGUCAUCUUCCCUUCCUGACAGGCUCAAGUCCUUCCUGUGCCCUAAAUUCUCACUCUGCAUGUUGGAGGUCCAGUGACACUGAUGAAGCCAAAGCAGUCAAAUAUCCCUCAUGUGGACAUCAAGGCUCUGAAGAAACUCAAGAACAAGAAGCUAGUGAAAAAGCUAAGAAGUACAGUGCCUGUCUGGCUUCAGAGUCCCUCCCUUCAGAAUCCUGAUCAGAUCGUCUCACCUUGGGUCAGGGUCUGAACAAAGCUGCCAAGUUCCCCUCCCUCUUCGCUCACAAUGAAAACAUGGUGGCCAAGGUCAAUGAAAUCCAGUCUAUCAUCAAAUUUCAAAUGAAAAAGGUGCUUUGUCUGGCAGUGGCCGUUGGCAUGUGAAAAUGACUGAAGAUGAGCUAGUCUACAACUUUCACCUGGCCAUUGACUUUCUGGUGUUCUUGCUGAAGAACUAUCAGAAUGUGCAUGUUGUACAUCAAGAGCACCAUGGGGAAACCACAGCGCCUCUACUAAACUGGCAGUAAUAAAUGUUUCAGAGCA